rnacentral:guide_RNA from 1 species
AAAAUAAACAAGAUUAUGACGUCAUAGAGAAUAUAAGUUAUAUU